AAAGUGGUCAAGUCAGUCUGCUUUGUAGUCAUUCUGCUUCCAGUACCCCUAAAGUCUCUCACACAUCUAUAAAAUAGUUCAGAGUUUAGAAGCUGUUGCUCCCUGUAACCAACUUUUGUGUGUGCAGGGAGCAAAGUGGCCAUGCAGCUCCAUCACUCAAAUGCCUUCUCUGAACACCUGUUUGCCCUAUAGGGAGGCAUUUGGUUUGUGCUUCUCUGUGACAGAGGAGAUUCUUUGCUUACUUUUUUUGUUUCUGCAAGGACUAGACCCAAACUAAAUCUUACCAAAGCUGACUCUUGCUAUUUUGUCUUAAAGUGCCUUUCCAGGAGCAACUUCAUUAUCUAGGCAUGGUUAUGUACAGCUCAUGGCACCAUAACAACACCUCUCAGUGUAAAGGGGGAGAGCUUUCCCUUCUGGGCACAGAUGGAGUCAAGAGACUGAAUGAACCAUCCACAUCUUGCUGCAUUGUCUUCCAUGCUCUGUCAGCCUCUACAUCAGAAAAGCCAGAAGAAAAUGUGGUGAAAUGCAGACCCUCCGUGUGCCACAGACUGCUGGGAAUGACAGGACACAUUCUUCCAGGGCUGCCUAAUGACUGCUCCAGAAGAAAAACAGGAAGAAGCAUAAUUUUUCCAAACAUGACAUCUUGUUGA
rnacentral:lncRNA from 1 species